GCGAGAGAGAGAGAGAGAGGCAGGGCACCGUAGCCAGAUCAAUACACACGGCCAACCCCGUAGUAACGCAUAGAAUACCUUAUUCAUAACAUACCGCUGUGUCCAGUGUUUUCUUUAAACCCCCGUCCACCCUCGUCGGUGUGGUCGCGGGCCUGUAUUUACGUCGGGUUUUUGAAAAAGACCAGGGAUUAAAAGAGAUCCAUCCGAGACCCUCUGGGGAUUAAGCGCCGGUUUGACCGUUCUCCUGCUUGUUCGACGUUUAAGGCUGGGCUUAACUCUCCCCGAUCUGGGGAAAAUGGGACUGGAGGACCAAAUAGGCUGGAGGAGUAGUUAUUCCUUGAGAAAACUGUCCAAUAAUCGUGUACGAGAUACAUUAGGAAAAUCAGAAGGAUAAAGCGAGAAAAGCGUUUACCGGAACCUCAGAGUCCAAUGACCUUAGAUAACCAAGAUGCCUUCCACCUAGUCCAAGAUUCUCUACCUAUCGCGGAGCACUUUCGACUGAAUCUUCCUACGAGCAACUUCAGAAGUUCCAGUUCUCCCAGGAAAAAUCAGAAGGCGAAUAAAACUGCGAACAAAGCGAAAAAGCUAACCUUACUGAAACCCCCGAGCGAAUGACCUCGGAUAACCAAGAUGCUCCCACCUAGCUCAAGAUCCUCUAACAAUCGUAGAGCACUAUCGACUGAACCUUCCCUCGAGUAACUCUGGUUAUAAACGAGUCGGUUUCCAGGACCAAAUUCGUAGCCUUCUCCGUGUUAAUCCCCGAAAACUGAGAUACCGACAAUUUCGUCGCUAGUUCGCGAGUCCCUCGGUCGUUCGACGCAACGCAAUAAGUCGACUUUACGAGCGGAACACUCGCUGUUGCGUUCCGUCCUACAGGAAACAGAACUAUAAAAGUACCUUUUGUUUUUUUGUCGCUCGCGGAGAAUCUCCACCGCUGGCUGGGGAUACAUAUUGACCCGUUCGAAGCACGGAAACUCUCGAGCACUGUUAACCCACGAAACCUGAGCACUCGUUGCAAAGAAUGCACUUCCGAGCUGAAGAAGACGACUCUCUCCCUCUGAAUCUGAUCUUUUAGGCAAGCUAGGAGGCAUAUCGAUUCGAGCCUGUGAUAUCGUCAGGUGGCGUUUCACUGGAAAUAACGUUUUAUUUAAAGAUCUUAGAGGACCCGUACGACACUAUCUCGAUAGAUAUUUUGGGAAGCUAUGCAAGGAAAGGUUUCGAUGUUUCGAUUAUGUCGAUUAGUUCGGAGAAUAAUUCCUGUCUGAGACAGACUUCUGACUCAUUUCAUAUUUAAACUCUCUGUGUUAGAAUCUUUUUCGAAGUCUUACGAAUGUUACAGUUGCAUCUAACUAGAACCAGAGAAAAAUCGGCGAAUUCUCUCCCCUUCGAUCCAAGGAAUUGAGAACAGAAGAAAACGAGGUGACAACGAAGAUGUCAAUUUCCAUAAAGAGCAAUUUGGCCUGCGAGGUCUCCCCAUUUAUUUCUAGAGUUCGUCAAAACGAAGAGGAGCGUGAAAAGGGAGCCCGCGAGACAAACCAAUGGUGGAAAAAAGAACGAUCGAACGUGGAAAGGCCAAGAUGGAGUCAGGGGUUCGGAGCACGUACACUCUGCAUAUUUAACGCAAUGAGAAUGCAUUGGGCCAAGAAUAUCGUGAAAGGGGACGCAAUUUUUCUAGGCACAAACAAACGACCCCGGCGAACUGGACAAACUACGGGAGCGUGCAAUACGAGAAGAAUGGUUCCUGCGACCGAGUAUUCCUUCGGAAAUUUCUGCCACGGUCCAUUCUUUCAUCCUGACCGAUAUACACGAACAAAUUAACCCUAACCCUGGUAAUCCAAACAAAUAUUUUCACAAUCCUUGAGGUACGUACUA